CCUUAUCUUAAGGAACAACAAGAAAGCUGCAUUUUCACUUUAACUACUUUAGAUCUAAAUUAAUCCCAAGCUUUAUUGUCUGUGGGUUUGUUGCUAGAAGGGCAAUUAGAAAACAACUACUCUACUUUACGGUUUCUUACAUAUGAAUACUCAGAAAAUGACUUGGCAGAAUUCCUGCCUUCUAAAUGCCACAGCUGGGAACAGACACGUUGGUCCAGAGGAUCUCCAGACACUGUAUGGGUAGGAUACCAAAUUAAUCUUUUAUUGAGCAUACUCGUACGUAUACAGUAGGUCUAUUUAGUUACCACUAAGCUUAGCAUUUUAUAUAUCUUUGAUUGUUAGACUGUACUACAGUACAUUUAUGACGAGAUUGUGUGCACAUUAUUUCACAGUGCUAGGUUAUGAAUUUGGCACAUUUCAGUGCACAGAUCUUUGCAACACUAUCAGAUAUCCAAUAAAAACAUUAGAAGACUGCCAUUAUUUCAUAUAAUUUGUUGGUUUAUGGGUGAUUUUUCAAAAGAGAACAGUCCUGGCAUAUUCCUACAAUUUCUUCUCUUUAAAGCCAGUAUAAAUUGAGAAAAACAUCUGAGAAGCUCCUGUUCAGCUUUACUGCAUGAACACGGGGUGACUCAUAACUCUUUGGAAGAAGGGUUCAUACUGUAAUGACAGUGCUGACUGAGGAUCACAACCCCUCUCAUAAAAGAGGAAUGAACCAGGGAGGCAGCUGCAAGGGUGAAGUUGGGGUGGUGAAGAACUAGAAAAGAGUUGAAGGCAGCCACUCUUUUGCCGAGGUGAUUGCUCCAGUUUCCUCUAAAACAUCAAUGUGAAAACAAAGAGUCCCACAGGAUCCUGCAGUGUAUCCGAGAGGUAGCCCAGGCCGGUCUUUUAAAAUUGAAUUGUUUUCAAUUCUGGCUAAGCCAAAGCAAUCUCUCCAGUGACUUUGUUCUUUGUUGUUACUGUUCAUUUUCUAAUGACUGGCAGAAAUUUGUUCUGGUUUUCUUGCAUCUCUUAACAUUGCAGUUCCCUGAGGGAAAUUCAAUUCCUGUGACCUUUUGAAACACAAGGAGUAGGAGUUGCAUGUAUUGGGGGUAUGCACUGCUCAAGCCUGUUUGUGGCCAGGAAGCACAGUAUGUGGUCACCACCUGCUUAUCUAUUUUCUUCUCUUGUAAACACAAAGGAAAAAAAAAAUUAAGCUGUCUUUAUGGCAUAACACAGUGCAUUGGUUGAUUUUAUAUAUAAUAUGUUUAUAACACAUAUAUUUUAGGAUUCUAAACAGGAAGGGGACAGAUGUCAUGCUGGUACCUUAAAGAACCUUUGUAUUUAAAAAGACGAUAAUGCAGUAAUAAUAGGCUGUGAAAGGUGAGGAACUGUACCAUUUGUCUUCAUAUUGUCCAGUAAGUGCACACAGCAUAUGUCCAGAUCCCAGGCGUUCCUGGUAUUUAGUGCUGGGCUUUCGCCAGAUGUAACUGUUGAGUUUGGCCAAAAGUGUGGAGACAGGGGAAGACCCCCAUAUGUGUUUUUUCUUGUGGGACCUGAUCCCAGACCUGCAUUAGAGAAUUAAAGGCUUGAGAAUACAAAUGCUUUACUGACAAACCCAUCUCAAACCCUUUACGGCUCUUUCCAGGGCUCCAAGAUGUUCAUAUUUUUGUUGUUUUUCACCAUCUCCACAAGCCGAGAGGGGUGAUGUGUUGCUGUACAGUACUGUAUAUAUGAAUUCACAAAUCAUUUAGAUCCAUGCAUUUGUCCUCCUCCUUCUGCUUCAUCUUUGACAUCUGUUUUCAUGACCGCUUUCGUAAUUCCCUGAUACAUCAUCCAAAUGCAUCCAAAAUAAACUAAGCAUAAACACACCCAGUGUCAUUCAGUUUCAUCGGAUUUCGUAUUUUAGCACCCAUCUUUAUUUCUUAAAUAAUGUUAGUCAUUUUCUUCUAAUUCUCUAAGCUAC